CCCGCUGAGUUUAAGCAUAUCAAUAAGCGGAGGAAAAGAAA
rnacentral:rRNA from 2 species